rnacentral:rRNA from 1 species
UGGCGAGUGGCGAACGGGUGAGUAAUAUAUCGGAACGUACCCUGGAGUGGGGGAUAACGUAGCGAAAGUUACGCUAAUACCGCAUACGAUCUAAGGAUGAAAGUGGGGGAUCGCAAGACCUCAUGCUCGUGGAGCGGCCGAUAUCUGAUUAGCUAGUUGGGAGGGGAAAAGCCUACCAAGGCAUCGAUCAGUAGCUGGUCUGAGAGGACGACCAGCCACACUGGAACUGAGACACGGUCCACACUCCUACGGGAGGCAGCAGUGGGGAAUUUUGGACAAUGGGCGCAAGCCUGAUCCACCAAUGCCGCGUGAGUGAAAAAGGCCUUCGGGUUGUAAAGCUCUUUUGUCAGGGAAAAAACGGUGGGAGCUAAUAUCUCCUGCUAAUGACGGUACCUGAAAAAUAAGCACCGGCUAACUACGUGCCACCAGCCGCGGUAAUACGUAGGGUGCAAGCGUUAAUCGGAAUUACUGGGCGUAAAGCGUGCGCAGGCGGUUUUGUAAGUCUGAUGUGAAAUCCCCGGGCUCAACCUGGGAAUUGCAUUGGAGACUGCAAGGCUAGAAUCUGGCAGAGGGGGGUAGAAUUCCACGUGUAGCAGUGAAAUGCGUAGAUAUGUGGAGGAACACCGAUGGCGAAGGCAGCCCCCUGGGUCAAGAUUGACGCUCAUGCACGAAAGCGUGGGGAGCAAACAGGAUUAGAUACCCUGGGAGUCCACGCCCUAAACGAUGUCUACUAGUUGUCGGGUCUUAAUUGACUUGGUAACGCAGCUAACGCGUGAAGUAGACCGCCUGGGGAGUACGGUCGCAAGAUUAAACUCAAGGAAUUGACGGGGACCCGCACAAGCGGUGGAUGAUGUGGAUUAAUUCGAUGCACGCGAAAAACCUUACCUACCCUUGACAUGGCUGGAAUCCCCGAGAGAUUUGGGAGUGU